rnacentral:rRNA from 1 species
UACGGGGGGGGGUAAGCGUUGUUCGGAAUUACUGGGCGAAAGGGCUCGUAGGCGGCCAACUAAGUCAGACGUGAAAUCCCUCAGCUUAACUGGGGAACUGCGUCUGAUACUGGAUGGCUUGGAUCGGGAGAGGAAUGCGGAAUUCCCAGGUGUAGCGGUGAAAUGCGUAGAUAUCUGGAGGAACACCGGUGGCGAAGGCGGCAUUCUGGACCGAUAUGACGCUGAGGAGCGAAAGCCCAGGGGAGCAAACGGGG